rnacentral:rRNA from 1 species
UUGAUCCUGCCGGACCCGACUGCUAUCAGAAUAGGACUAAGCCAUGCGAGUCAACGUAGCAAUACGUGGCAUACGGCUCAGUAACACGUAGUCAACAUGCCCAGGGGACGUGGAUAACCUCGGGAAACUGAGGAUAAACCGCGAUAGGUCAUAAUAUCUGGAAUGAUUUCUGGCUUAAAUCUAUAUGGCCCCUGGAUUGGACUGCGGCCGAUCAGGCUGUUGGUGAGGUAAUGGCCCACCAAACCUAAAACCGGUACGGGCUCUGAGAGGAGAAGCCCGGAGAUGGGCACUGAGACAAGGGCCCAGGCCCUAUGGGGCGCAGCAGGCGCGAAAACUCUGCAAUAAGCGAAAGCUUGACAGGGUUAUUCUGAGUGAUUUCCGCUAAGGAAAUCUUUUGGCACCUCUAAAAAUGGUGCAGAAUAAGGGGUGGGCAAGCCUGGUGUCAGCCGCCGCGGUAAUACCAGCACCCCGAGUGGUCGGGACGAUUAUUGGGCCUAAAGCAUCCGUAGCCGGUUCUAUAAGUCUUCCGUUAAAUCCACCUGCUUAACAGAUGGGCUGCGGAGGAUACUAUGGAGCUAGGAGGCGGGAGAGGCAAGCGGUACUUAGUGGGUAGGGGUAAAAUCCGUUGAUCCAUUGAAGACCACCAGUGGCGAAGGCGGCUUGCCAGAACGCACUCGACGGUGAGGGAUGAAAGCUGGGGGAGCAAACCGGAUUAGAUACC